rnacentral:rRNA from 1 species
GAAGGUCCUCUGGAUUGUAAACUUCUUUUAUUUGGGAAGAAAUGCAUUUUUUCUAAAGUGCUUGACGGUACCAGAUGAAUAAGCACCGGCUAACUCCGUGCCAGCAGCCGCGGUAAUACGGAGGGUGCAAGCGUUAUCCGGAUUUACUGGGUUUAAAGGGUGCGCAGGCGGAUAUGUAAGUCAGUGGUGAAAUCUCCGGGCUUAACCCGGAAACUGCCGUUGAUACUAUAUAUCUUGAAUGCUGUGGAGGUAAGCGGAAUAUGUCAUGUAGCGGUGAAAUGCUUAGAUAUGACAUAGAACACCUAUUGCGAAGGCAGCUUACUACACAGAUAUUGACGCUCAUGCACGAAAGCGUGGGGAUCAAACAGGAUUAGAUACCCUGGUAGUCCACGCCCUAAACGAUGAUUACUCGACAUACGCGAUACACAGUGUGUGUCUGAGCGAAAGCAUUAAGUAAUCCACCUGGGAAGUACGAUCGCAAGAUUGAAACUCAAAGGAAUUGACGGA